GAUGAACGCUGGCGGCGUGCCUAAUACAUGCAAGUCGAGCGAACGGACGAGAAGCUUGCUUCUCUGAUGUUAGCGGCGGACGGGUGAGUAACACGUGGAUAACCUACCUAUAAGACUGGGAUAACUUCGGGAAACCGGCGCUAAUACCGGAUGAUAUUUUGAACCGCAUGGUUCAAAAGUGAAAGACGGUCUUGCUGUCACUUAUAGAUGGAUCCGCGCUGCAUUAGCUAGUUGGUAAGGUAACGGCUUACCAAGGCAACGAUGCAUAGCCGACCUGAGAGGGUGAUCGGCCACACUGGAACUGAGACACGGUCCAGACUCCUACGGGAGGCAGCAGUAGGGAAUCUUCCGCAAUGGGCGAAAGCCUGACGGAGCAACGCCGCGUGAGUGAUGAAGGUCUUCGGAUCGUAAAACUCUGUUAUUAGGGAAGAACAGAUGUGUAAGUAACUGUGCACAUCUUGACGGUACCUAAUCAGAAAGCCACGGCUAACUACGUG
rnacentral:rRNA from 1 species